GAAGUCCAGAACCCUUUUGGCUUUUAUUUUCCCCUGCCUGCCCACCAUUUUCCCCAGAUCAAAUCCUGUAUCAUUUCUUCUCCCAAAAUCAAACCCAUUCCUAAAUCAAAAUCCCUAAAUCAAAGUGUCAAACCCUCCUUCCUUCUUCAGUCUUCUUCUGUUCUUUAUCAUUCUCUGGGUUUAUUCAUUUCCUUGUGGGUUGUUUCUCACCUGUUUUCUCUGGAUUAUACUUGUUUCAUCAGCCUACCUCCAAAGAAACCUUGUCUACUUAAACGUCGAUGAUAGACUUUUCAUCAUUGGGUCCAUAACUGAAUUUGUUGCAGAACUAAACAUCGCAGCCAUGUUCGAAAAAUGAUUUUCAAUCCAAGGUAUUAAUCAUGUUAUAAACAACUGCAGACCAAACCCUUUACUGUAUAUUAAUAUGUUGCAAAGACAAUUGAAAGUGGGAAGCCUUAAAAAUGAAUGCAUCCUUUUAGGGAAAGUCACCUUCUCUAAGCGACGAAACAGGUUGUUGAAGAAGGCUUAUGAUGGAUGCUCGUGAGAAGAAGUAUAAGACUCUCCUCAACGAUUGUAUGGUAAAUGGGACAUCGAGUAAGUGAAAUACUUACUAAUAGAACUAGAUUGUCAAUAAGUUUCCUGAUGGUUUAAUAUAGAUUGAUUGUUGUUAUUUGACUAUUUGUUUGUGUUGUAACUGAACGUUAGCUUCUCAAUUGAUGUCUUCAUUGUUUUCUCAACCAAUAAUUAAUGGAUAUACUGAUGAAAAUUGUUCAUUUAGCUUCAA